UACAGAGGUCUCAAGCGUUGUUCGGAUUCAUUGGGCGUAAAGAGCGUGUAGGCGGCUCGGUAAGUCCGCUGUAAAAGUCAAAGGCUCAACCUUUGAAUGUCAGUGGAUACUGCCGGGCUAGAGUCCGGAAGAGGCGAGUGGAACUCCUGGUGUAGCGGUGGAAUGCGCAGAUAUCAGGAAGAACACCAACGGCGAAGGCAGCUCGCUGGGACGGUACUGACGCUGAGACGCGAAAGCGUGGGGAGCGAACAGG
rnacentral:rRNA from 1 species